GGCAAUUAGUUAUCAGCCUAUCCUUGACCGAAGGGUCUGGGUAAUCUUUGAAACUGCAUCGUGAUGGGGAUAGAUUAUUGCAAUUAUUAGUCUUCAACGAGGAAUGCCUAGUAAGCGCAAGUCAUCAGCUUGCGUUGAUUACGUCCCUGCCCUUUGUACACACCGCCCGUCGCUCCUACCGAUUGGGUGUGCUGGUGAAGUGUUCGGAUUGGCAGCUUAGGGUGGCAACACCUCAGGUCUGCCGAGAAGUUCAUUAAACCCUCCCACCUAGAGGAAGGAGAAGUCGUAACAAGGUUUCCGUAGGUGAACCUGCGGAAGGAUCAUUGAAUUAUUAAAACCACAAUGCGAACCUAUCUGUUCCGUGCCUUAGCUGCCAGCAAGGCAAUUGGCUUGCCCAAUUGUACUUGCAAGCUGGUGCGAGUAAUUUGAUUACUUGCAUCAGUGGCGCUUUGGCAUGCUUAUACACCAGUGCUAACCACUGUCAAAACCAAACUCUGAAGCUUUGAUUGCUAUUAACUGGCAAUCUUAACCAAAGACAACUCUCAACAACGGAUAUCUUGGCUCUCGCAACGAUGAAGAACGCAGCGAAAUGCGAUACGUAGUGUGAAUUGCAGAAUUCCGUGAACCAUCGAAUCUUUGAACGCAUAUUGCGCUCGAGCCCUCGGGCAAGAGCAUGUCUGCCUCAGCGUCGGUUUAUACCCUCACCCCUCUCUCCUUUUGGAGGGCUGGUCAGCUUCUAGUUGGCCUCAGGGGUGGAUCUGGCUUUCCCAAUUGGUUCACUCCGAUUGGGUUGGCUGAAGCUUAGAGGCUUAAGCAAGGACCCGAUAUGGGCUUCAACUGGAUAGGUAGCACCGGCUUCUGCCGACUACACGAAGUUGUGGCUUGUGGACUUUGCUAGAGGCCAAGCAGGAAACAUGCUUUGCAUGUCUUAAACUUUCGACCUGAGCUCAGGCAAGGCUACCCGCUGAACUUAAGCAUAUCAAUAAGCGGAGGAAAAGAAACUAACAAGGAUGCGCUUAGUAACGGCGAGCGAACCGCGCAAAGCCCAACUUGAAAAUCUCCCUUGGAGAAUUGUAGUCUAUAGAAGUACCCUCUGUAACGGGCGCAGCUCAAGUCUCCUGGAAAGGGGCGUCAGAGAGGGUGAGAACCCCGUAAGCUGUUGCUUCGUUGCCUCACGAGGUGCUUUCAAAGAGUCGGGUUGCUUGGGAAUGCAGCCCAAAUUUGGUGGUAAAUCCCAUCUAAGGCUAAAUAUUGGCGAGAGACCGAUAGCGAACAAGUACCGUGAGGGAAAGAUGAAAAGAACUUUGAAAAGAGAGUUAAAAAGUGCUUGAAAUUGUUGAGGGGGAAGCGUUUGAAUGCUAGAGUGCGCCUAGGCUUAUGGGUUCUUAACGGAGCUCUGUAUGUGCUAGGUGCUGGCCAGCAUGGGUUAGGCGAGCGGGAUAAACGCUGGGGUUGAUACCCGGUCUAUGCCGCUUGCUUGACCAAGGCGUGAAGACUGCCCUUGUCCUUCGGGAACUGCAGUCUCAAGAUGCUGGCAAAAGGCUCAACCGACGUAACGCCC
rnacentral:rRNA from 1 species